rnacentral:rRNA from 1 species
ACGCACGCUGGCGGCGUGCCUCAUCCCUGCCAGUCGAACGCUUCUUUCCUCCCGAGUGCUUGCACUCAAUUGGAAAGAGGAGUGGCGGACGGGUGAGUAACACGUGGGUAACCUACCCAUCAGAGGGGGAUAACACUUGGAAACAGGUGCUAAUACCGCAUAACAGUUUAUGCCGCAUGGCAUAAGAGUGAAAGGCGCUUUCGGGUGUCGCUGAUGGAUGGACCCGCGGUGCAUUAGCUAGUUGGUGAGGUAACGGCUCACCAAGGCCACGAUGCAUAGCCGACCUGAGAGGGUGAUCGGCCACACUGGGACUGAGACACGGCCCAGACUCCUACGGGAGGCAGCAGUAGGGAAUCUUCGGCAAUGGACGAAAGUCUGACCGAGCAACGCCGCGUGAGUGAAGAAGGUUUUCGGAUCGUAAAACUCUGUUGUUAGAGAAGAACAAGGACGUUAGUAACUGAACGUCCCCUGACGGUAUCUAACCAGAAAGCCACGGCUAACUACGUG